rnacentral:rRNA from 1 species
CCUACGGGUGGCUGCAGUGGGGAAUAUUGGACAAUGGGGGCAACCCUGAUCCAGCCAUGCCGCGUGUGUGAAGAAGGCCCUCGGGUUGUAAAGCACUUUCAGUGAGGAAGAACUCCUGGUGGUUAAUACCCAUCAGGAAAGACAUCACUCACAGAAGAAGCACCGGCUAACUCCGUGCCAGCAGCCGCGGUAAUACGGAGGGUGCGAGCGUUAAUCGGAAUUACUGGGCGUAAAGCGCGCGUAGGUGGCUUGAUAAGCCGGUUGUGAAAGCCCCGGGCUCAACCUGGGAACGGCAUCCGGAACUGUCAAGCUAGAGUGCAGGAGAGGAAGGUAGAAUUCCCGGUGUAGCGGUGAAAUGCGUAGAGAUCGGGAGGAAUACCAGUGGCGAAGGCGGCCUUCUGGACUGACACUGACACUGAGGUGCGAAAGCGUGGGUAGCAAACAGGAUUAGAUACCCUUGUAGUC